rnacentral:rRNA from 1 species
GUCUGUAGCCAUGCCACCUUGAACAAGCCCAAUUCUGUCUGAUAUUGGAAGCUAAGCAGGGUCGGGCCUGGUUAGUACUUGGAUGGGAGACCACCUAGGAAGAUCAGGUGCUGUAGGCG